GGGUUGUGAGGUUAAGCGACUAAGCGUACACGGUGGAUGCCCUGGCAGUCAGAGGCGAUGAAGGACGUGCUAAUCUGCGAAAAGCGUCGGUAAGGUGAUAUGAACCGUUAUAGCCGGCGAUGUCCGAAUGGGGAAACCCAGUGCAAUUCGUUGCACUAUCGUUAACUGAAUACAUAGGUUAACGAGGCGAACCGGGGGAACUGAAACAUCUAAGUACCCCGAGGAAAAGAAAUCAACCGAGAUUCCCCCAGUAGCGGCGAGCGAACGGGGAGCAGCCCAGAGUCUGAAUCAGCUUGUGUGUUAGUGGAACGGUCUGGAAAGUCCGACGGUACAGGGUGAUAGUCCCGUACACCAAAAUGCACAGGUUGUGAACUCGAAGAGUAGGGCGGGACACGUGGUAUCCUGUCUGAAUAUGGGGGGACCAUCCUCCAAGGCUAAAUACUCCUGACUGACCGAUAGUGAACCAGUACCGUGAGGGAAAGGCGAAAAGAACCCCGGCGAGGGGAGUGAAAAAGAACCUGAAACCGUGUACGUACAAGCAGUGGGAGCACCUUCGGGUGUGACUGCGUACCUUUUGUAUAAUGGGUCAGCGACUUAUAUUCUGUAGCAAGGUUAACCGUAUAGGGGAGCCGCAGGGAAACCGAGUCUUAACUGGGCGUUAAGUUGCAGGGUAUAGACCCGAAACCCGGUGAUCUAGCCAUGGGCAGGUUGAAGGUUGGGUAACACUAACUGGAGGACCGAACCGACUAAUGUUGAAAAAUUAGCGGAUGACUUGUGGCUGGGGGUGAAAGGCCAAUCAAACCGGGAGAUAGCUGGUUCUCCCCGAAAGCUAUUUAGGUAGCGCCUCGUGAAUUCAUCUUCGGGGGUAGAGCACUGUUUCGGCUAGGGGGUCAUCCCGACUUACCAACCCGAUGCAAACUACGAAUACCGAAGAAUGUUAUCACGGGAGACACACGGCGGGUGCUAACGUCCGUCGUGAAGAGGGAAACAACCCAGACCGCCAGCUAAGGUCCCAAAGUCAUGGUUAAGUGGGAAACGAUGUGGGAAGGCACAGACAGCCAGGAUGUUGGCUUAGAAGCAGCCAUCAUUUAAAGAAAGCGUAAUAGCUCACUGGUCGAGUCGGCCUGCGCGGAAGAUGUAACGGGGCUAAACCAUGCACCGAAGCUGCGGCAGCGACACUAUGUGUUGUUGGGUAGGGGAGCGUUCUGUAAGCCUGCGAAGGUGUGCUGUGAGGCAUGCUGGAGGUAUCAGAAGUGCGAAUGCUGACAUAAGUAACGAUAAAGCGGGUGAAAAGCCCGCUCGCCGGAAGACCAAGGGUUCCUGUCCAACGUUAAUCGGGGCAGGGUGAGUCGACCCCUAAGGCGAGGCCGAAAGGCGUAGUCGAUGGGAAACAGGUUAAUAUUCCUGUACUUGGUGUUACUGCGAAGGGGGGACGGAGAAGGCUAUGUUAGCCGGGCGACGGUUGUCCCGGUUUAAGCAUGUAGGCUGGUUAUCCAGGCAAAUCCGGAUAAUCAAGGCUGAGGUGUGAUGACGAGGCACUACGGUGCUGAAGUAACAAAUGCCCUGCUUCCAGGAAAAGCCUCUAAGCAUCAGGUAACAUCAAAUCGUACCCCAAACCGACACAGGUGGUCAGGUAGAGAAUACCAAGGCGCUUGAGAGAACUCGGGUGAAGGAACUAGGCAAAAUGGUGCCGUAACUUCGGGAGAAGGCACGCUGGUGUGUAGGUGAAGUCCCUGCGGAUGGAGCUGAGACCAGUCGAAGAUACCAGCUGGCUGCAACUGUUUAUUAAAAACACAGCACUGUGCAAACACGAAAGUGGACGUAUACGGUGUGACGCCUGCCCGGUGCCGGAAGGUUAAUUGAUGGGGUUAUCCGUAAGGAGAAGCUCUUGAUCGAAGCCCCGGUAAACGGCGGCCGUAACUAUAACGGUCCUAAGGUAGCGAAAUUCCUUGUCGGGUAAGUUCCGACCUGCACGAAUGGCGUAAUGAUGGCCAGGCUGUCUCCACCCGAGACUCAGUGAAAUUGAACUCGCUGUGAAGAUGCAGUGUACCCGCGGCAAGACGGAAAGACCCCGUGAACCUUUACUAUAGCUUGACACUGAACAUUGAGCCUUGAUGUGUAGGAUAGGUGGGAGGCUUUGAAGCGUGGACGCCAGUCUGCGUGGAGCCAACCUUGAAAUACCACCCUUUAAUGUUUGAUGUUCUAACGUUGGCCCCUUAUCGGGGUUGCGGACAGUGUCUGGUGGGUAGUUUGACUGGGGCGGUCUCCUCCCAAAGCGUAACGGAGGAGCACGAAGGUUAGCUAAUCCUGGUCGGACAUCAGGAGGUUAGUGCAAUGGCAUAAGCUAGCUUGACUGCGAGCGUGACGGCGCGAGCAGGUGCGAAAGCAGGUCAUAGUGAUCCGGUGGUUCUGAAUGGAAGGGCCAUCGCUCAACGGAUAAAAGGUACUCCGGGGAUAACAGGCUGAUACCGCCCAAGAGUUCAUAUCGACGGCGGUGUUUGGCACCUCGAUGUCGGCUCAUCACAUCCUGGGGCUGAAGUAGGUCCCAAGGGUAUGGCUGUUCGCCAUUUAAAGUGGUACGCGAGCUGGGUUUAGAACGUCGUGAGACAGUUCGGUCCCUAUCUGCCGUGGGCGCUGGAGAAUUGAGGGGGGCUGCUCCUAGUACGAGAGGACCGGAGUGGACGCAUCACUGGUGUUCGGGUUGUCAUGCCAAUGGCACUGCCCGGUAGCUAAAUGCGGAAGAGAUAAGUGCUGAAAGCAUCUAAGCACGAAACUUGCCCCGAGAUGAGUUCUCCCUGAGACUUUAAGUCUCCUGAAGGAACGUUAAAGACGAUGACGUUGAUAGGCCGGGUGUGUAAGCGCAGCGAUGCGUUGAGCUAACCGGUACUAAUGAACCGUGAGGCUUAACCUUACAACGCCGAAG
rnacentral:rRNA from 1 species